rnacentral:piRNA from 1 species
CAGAAGUAGCUUUGGCCAGGAAU